rnacentral:lncRNA from 1 species
GUUACGCUAAGGGUAGGGUUAGGGUUAGGGUUAGGGUUUUGUCUAGGAUUAGUGUUAGGGUUAGGGUUAGGGUUAGGGUUAGGGUUGGGGUAAGGGUUAGGGUUAGGAUUAGGGUUAUGAUUAGGUUUAGGGUUAGGGUUAGGGUUUCCAUGAGGGUUAGGGUUAGGGUUAGGGUUAGGGCUAGGGUUAGGGUUAGGGUUAGGGUUAGGGUUAGGGUUAGGGUUAGGGUUAGGGUUAGGGUUAGGGUUAGGGUUAGGGUUAGGGUUAGGGUUAGGGUUAGGGUUAGGGUAAGGAUUAGGGUUAGGGUUAGGGUUAGGGUUAGGGUAAGGGUUAGGAUUAGGGUUAGGGUUAGGGUUAGGGUUAGGGUUAGGGUUAGGGUUAGGGUUAGGGUUAGGGUUAGGGUUAGGGUUAGGGUUAGGGUUAGGGUUAGGGUUAGGGUUAGGGUUAGGGUUAGGGUUAGGCUUAGGGUUAGGGUUAGGGUUAGGGUUAGGGUUAGGGUUAGGGUUAGGGUUAGGGUUAGGGUUAGGGUUAGGGUUAGGGUUAGGGUUAGGGUUAGGGUUAGGGUUAGGGUUAGGGUUAGGGUUAGGGUUAGGGUUAGGGUUAGGGUUAGGGUUAGGGUAGGGUUAGGGUUAGGGUUAGGGUUAGGGUUAGGGUUAGGGUUAGGGUUAGGGUUAGGGUUAGGGUUAGGGUUAGGGUUAGGGUUAGGGUUAGGGUUAGGGUUAGGGUUAGGGUUAGGGUUAGGGUUAGGGUUAGGGUUAGGGUUAGGGUUAGGGUUAGGGUUAGGGUUAGGGUUAGGGUUAGGGUUAGGGUUAGGGUUAGGGUUAGGGUUAGGGUUAGGGUUAGGGUUAGGGUUAGGGUUAGGGUUAGGGUUAGGGUUAGGGUAAGGGUUAGGGUUAGGGUUAGGGUUAGGGUUAGGGUUAGGGUUAGGGUUCGGGUUAGGCUAAGGGUAGGGUUAGG